UCAUUGGUUAGCAGGAAGAAGAUGAGCCUUAAGUCUGAACACUGAGGAAUUCAUGUGCAUCAGUCAGACCUCCUGUGCAAGGAAGGAUGUGGUUACUACGGCAACCCUGCCUGGCAGGGUUUCUGCUCCAAGUGCUGGAGGGAAGAGUACCACAAAGCCAGGCAGAAGGAGAUUCAGGAGGACUGGGAGCUGGCGGAGCGUCUUGCUCUGUCACCCCAGCUGGAGUAUAGUGGUGCAGUCUCAACUCACUGCAUCCUCUGCUUCCUUGGCUCAAGUGAUCCUCCUGCUUCAGCCUCCCAAGUAGCUAGGACUACUCCAGUGGGAGGAAGAGGCCUUUGCCAGCAGUCAGAGCAGCCAAGGGGCCCAAUCCCUCACAUUCUCCAAGUUUGAAGGAAAGAAAACCAACGAGAAGACCCACGAGGUUACCACAGUGAAGAAAUCUUCAGUGCGUCUUCCAGGGUCGGAUCAGAAAUUCAGGAAGCAAAAGCCAGUCCUUCCAUAAACCGGCGAACCAGCAUUGAAACGGAUAGAGUGUCUAAGGAGUUCAUAGAAUUUCUCAAGACCUUCCACAAGACAGGCCAAGAAAUCUAUAAACAGACCAAGCUGUUUUUGGAAGGGAUGCAUUACAAAA
rnacentral:lncRNA from 10 species